rnacentral:misc_RNA from 1 species
GAAAAAGAAAGAAAGGAAAGAAAGUAAGAGAAGGGAAAGAUCCACAAAGACUACAUCUUUAUUCUCUCUUCUAUAUUUGAGAGAAUAGAAAAUUACAUAUUUAUGUGCAAAUUACUCCACUUAUUUAGGAAUACAAAUCUCUACCUGAUGUAGAACAAAAAGAAAGAACCAAGAAUUAGGAGAAAUCAAGGACCAAUCCUU